rnacentral:rRNA from 1 species
UGGGGAAUCUUCCGCAAUGGACGAAAGUCUGACGGAGCAACGCCGCGUGAGUGAAGAAGGUUUUCGGAUCGUAAAACUCUGUCUUUUGGGGCGAACGUGAGUAUGGUGAACAAUCAUAGUCAGUGACGGUACCAAAGGAGGAAGCCACGGCUAACUACGUGCCAGCAGCCGCGGUAAUACGUAGGUGGCAAGCGUUGUCCGGAAUUAUUGGGCGUAAAGAGCGCGUAGGCGGGAUAGUCAGUCUGUUGUAAAAGUGCGGGGCUCAACCCCGUGAUGGCAAUGGAAACAGCUAUUCUUGAGUGCAGGAGAGGAAAGUGGAAUUCCCAGUGUAGCGGUGAAAUGCGUAGAUAUUGGGAGGAACACCAGUGGCGAAGGCGACUUUCUGGACUGUGUCUGACGCUGAGGCGCGAAAGCCAGGGGAGCGAACGGGAUUAGAUACCCCGGUAGUCCUGGCCGUAAACGAUGGGUACUAGGUGUGGGAGGUAUCGACCCCCUUCCGUGCCGGAGUUAACGCAAUAAGUACCCCGCCUGGGGAGUACGGUCGCAGACUGAAACUUAAAUGAAUUGACGGGGUCAUAGCUGUUUCCUG